AGUAUUAUUCAAUGAGAUUUUUAUAGAACUGUCACUCUGCAAAACUAGGCACUGAAUGAAUUGUAGGAUUAAUGAAGCAUAAUCUAGUUGGGGCUAUUAGAUUUACAUGUUUGAAACAUUGAAGUAGCAUGGCAGUGUCAAGAACUGUGAAGGGUUUUAUAUUUUACCUUAUUUGUAAACUUACAAGUAGGCUUGUCACAGUUUCUCAUACCCUGGCAGAAGACACAAGACAGCUCAGAUUUUCUUACUUACAGAACAGCACGCUAAAUGAGUGUUAGCAUAUUUAAGUCACUUCCCCUUUCCUCUGAGUUCCCCAGAAGUGAUGCAGGAGGCCAGAUAAAUGCCAGCUCACUUUCUGGAUUUUGCUACAGAAGAGAACACCAUGUGUAGGGAACCUGAAUUUUUUGUAAUAGGCCGUAAGCAUGCCUGCCCUUUGGCCUGGAAAGAGACACUAUAUCUUCCAGGGCUGUUUGCUGUGUAAACAUCCUUGAAAAGACAGCCUUGAACAAAGGGCAGUCAAUAGUUCUACUCAAAAGACAUGGAGAAAUGCAAAAGACCCAUGGAGAUUUGUCUUCUAAUCGGCAGCAUCUUGCAAGGUAAGUUGCAUAGGCAGUACUAGCUAGAGAAAUUCAGUUAAAGGAACUAUAAACUUGAUCUUCAAUUCCAAACACCCUAAUUUAGUUAUUUAAGAAAGGUUUUUAUAGAGAAAAUUAAAAUUAAGAAGUCUUUGGAAGAUGGGAAAUAUCUGAAGGGAUAAAGGAGAGGAUAAUGGGCAUUCCUUUUGUGGAAGGUAGUAUGAGUUGGGAUGUACUCAUAGCUGCGAUGUUAUGAGGAUGCAUUGGUUCAGCCUCUCACUUGUUGACCAUCUUCAUCCACCCUGAUUGUUCAGUAUCCUUGCUGUACUGAUUGUUUAGGAUUUUGAAUAGUAAUUAUGGCAUUUGUAUGGUUUGGAAGCAGUAUGAUUUUACUGUUGCAGUUGGUUACUCUUCAAUCAAGGUUGCCAGAUAAAGUCCUCUGUUUUUAUUUGCUAAGCCUGGCAACCCUAUCUUUGGUACAGUAGGGCUAAAUCUCUACAGCGAAGGAGCUCAAAUCUGAACUGGCAUCUAUUCUUGUAGGUAAGGGAAGCCAUUAAAGGCAGUUGACCAAAGGGUUAUGUAAAAAGAAUUGUGUUUUAGCAGAACAAAAAUGAUAAUGGUGUGCUAGGAUAGAUGAUGAAUGAGAUCUUCCUGAUCAUCAGGAUAAUUCCCAUAUCUCUGGCUUUGAGAAGCAGUGGAGAAAAUUUAGAAGAUAAGCUUACAUUUAGAAGACAAGCAACUUGGUCGGUGCGGUGGCUCACGCCUGUAAUCCCGGCACUUUGGGAGGCUGAGGUGGGUGGAUCACAAGGUCAGGAGUUUGAAACCAGCCUGGCCACCAUAGUGAAACCUCGUCUCUACUACAAAAAAAAAAAAACAAAAAAAAACGAAAAUUAGCUGGGCAUGGGGCGGGCACCUGUAGUCCCAGCUAUGCCACUGCACUCCAGCCUGGGCGACACUAGACUAGUGACUCGGUCUCAAAAAAAAAAAAAAAGAAAAAGCAACUUAAGAUUGGGCUUCAUGAAGACAGAGACUAGAUUCUGUGGAUAUAGGAUAAAUAACACAUGGGCAGCUGUGACUCAGAGCAUGGGUAUGACAUGAGUGACCUGUAAUUGUUCUAUGUGGAAUGGGUGCACUAGUCAUCCAAUUAAGCCAUGGAGAAGGACAGAGAUGCUUGGCUCUCACUCACUAGUCUCUGAGUCAAAAGGGGCAGAGGAAGGGAAACUUUAUUAGGCCAAUAAGGAAUAAAUGAUGUGAAUGCAUAGUUUAAUGUAUGUUACUAUGUGAACAAAAAAUUGGGGUAGAGAAGAGUUUUCACACAUUAGGAUGCAGAUUAGGAUGAGAUUUCAUUUAUAGAAGAGUAGUGGGUUUUGGCACCAUGGGAUUGAUAAGGACAAGUAUGAUGGAUAAAGCAGUGUGUUGGCAGCAUGGCAGGGGGAUACAUUAACAGAGGGGGUAUUAGGGUUGGGAGAGGAGUGUUGAGAAAUUAGGAUGGGAUGUCUGACCUGGUGGGAGUAAUUUACAGAGUAGUAGGUCAGGAAUACUGAGGGAUGAGGAAUCAGAAGGCAAGUGGGCAGGUCCUCCUUGGUAAUCUAAAAGGAAAGUUGAUGGAGCUUCAUUGAAACAAAAUUGUCUUCCCUGGGUUUCAACGAGGACCCUUCAGAUGGAAUUUAGGCUCUUUGUUGACACCAUUUGGAGAAAGUAGAUGAUUCUUUGUGGUAAGUAGAAGGUAAAUACUAAGUCAAUGUUUUUCUGAUUUGGUUUUUCACUUGACAGAGAGAGCAGGUGCUAUAAAUUAUACUAAUGACUAACAUUGGGGAAUUCUAGUGGACCCUCUAAAGGUUAUGGGCAUAAGAAGAGGAAGGGAAACAUUUGAAAAGGAUGUUGUCAUGGAAGCUUUAGUUGAAGUGCUGAGAAAAUUGAUAACAUAUUUCAAAGUGAGAUACAAAAUCACGAUACAAAAGUUUGAAAGGAGUUAUCUGUUCUAAAUUUAAUGCAAGACUGAAUUUUGACCAUUGCACAGGACUAAAUAAUUACUGAGACUGUCAUGAGACUUGAAUGAAUUAUGGGUAUUUUUAUUACCCUAGAAGUACCAGAAACAUCAAGGAUAUCAAGAAAGAUCUAGCCUAUUAGAGUGGAUUUUAAGAUAUAGAAAUAAAUUUUACUUAUGAUUGUAUUAUGCAAGUCAUGAUUGUUAAACAUAAUGUUUACACAAAAUAAAAACGGCAGGCUGAGAAGUAGAAUCUAUGGAAGAGAGUUGGAAGGGUUUUGGAAUUUGGCAGAUAAAACAUGAGAUAGGAAUAACAUUUGUAGAGACGAGUUCAUCUAAAAGCAGAUUAAAAGGAAAGCAGCAAUUUCCUAGCACUGCAAUAUUCUCUGCGAUGGACUGAAUGUUUAUGUACCCUCCCCCUCCAAAUUUAUAGGCUGAAAUCUUAACUCCUAAUGUGAAGGUAUUAGGAGGCAGAAACUUUGGGGGUAAUUAGGUAAUAAAGAGACUCUAGAGAGCUCUCUCACCCUCUUUCUGCCAUACAAUUAAAGACAGCAGUCUGCACCUUGGAAGGUGACCCUCACCAGUACCCAAUCAUGCUGGCACCCUAAUCCUGGACCGGUACCCUCCAGAAAUAUAAGAAAUAAAUUUGUAUUGUUCAUAAGCCACCCAGCAUAUGGUACUUUGGCAUAGCAGCCUGAACUGACUGAGACAUUCUCCAAAGGUAUCAAUAGGUGAAGCUUAAUUUUUAUAAAGAAAAAUAAUUUAUAAAAUUGGCUAUUUUGUAUGACCUUGGCAUUCAGGGUUUAAAAUAUGUUAGAGU
rnacentral:lncRNA from 1 species